GACGAACGCUGGCGGCGUGCUUAACACAUGCAAGUCGAACGGAAAGGCCCUGCUUUUGUGGGGUGCUCGAGUGGCGAACGGGUGAGUAACACGUGAGUAACCUGCCCUUGACUUUGGGAUAACUUCAGGAAACUGGGGCUAAUACCGGAUAGGAGCUCCUGCUGCAUGGUGGGGGUUGGAAAGUUUCGGCGGUUGGGGAUGGACUCGCGGCUUAUCAGCUUGUUGGUGGGGUAGUGGCUUACCAAGGCUUUGACGGGUAGCCGGCCUGAGAGGGUGACCGGACACAUUGGGACUGAGAUACGGCCCAGACUACUACGGGAGGCAGCAGUGGGGAAGAUUGCACAAUGGGCGGAAGCCUGAUGCAGCAACGCCGCGUGCGGGAUGACGGCCUUCGGGUUGUAAACCGCUUUCGCCUGUGACGAAGAGUGAGUGACGGUAAUGGGUAAAGAAGCACCGGCUAACUACGUG
rnacentral:rRNA from 1 species